UACAGAGGGGGCGAGCGUUGUUCGGAAUUACUGGGCGUAAAGGGCGCGUAGGCGGCCAACUAAGUCGGACGUGAAAUCCCCUGGCUCAACCAGGGAACUGCGUCCGAUACUGAUUGGCUUGAGUCCGGGAGAGGUGAGUGGAAUUCCCAGUGUAGCGGUGAAAUGCGUAGAUAUUGGGAGGAACACCAGUGGCGAAGGCGGCUCACUGGACCGGAACUGACGCUGAGGCGCGAAAGCGUGGGGAGCAAACAGG
rnacentral:rRNA from 1 species